UGCGUAGGUGGUUUCUUAAGUCAGAGGUGAAAGGCUACGGCUCAACCGUAGUAAGCCUUUGAAACUGGGAAACUUGAGUGCAGGAGAGGAGAGUGGAAUUCCUAGUGUAGCGGUGAAAUGCGUAGAUAUUAGGAGGAACACCAGUGGCGAAGGCGACUUACUGGACGAUAACUGACGCUGAGGCUCGAAAGCGUGGGGAGCAAACA
rnacentral:rRNA from 1 species